rnacentral:rRNA from 1 species
GAUGAACGCUGGCGGCGUGCCUAAUACAUGCAAGUCGAGCGAACAGACGAUGAGCUUGCUCCUCUGACGUUAGCGGCGGACGGGUGAGUAACACGUGGAUAACCUACCUAUAAUACUGGGAUAACUUCGGGAAACCGGAGCUAAUACCGGCUCAUAUAUUGAACCGCAUGGUUCAAUAGUGAAAGACGGUUUUGCUGUCACUUAUAGAUGGAUCCGCGCCGCAUUAGCUAGUUGGUAAGGUAACGGCUUACCAAGGCAACGAUGCGUAGCCGACCUGAGAGGAUGAUCGGCCACACUGGAACUGAGACACGGUCCAGACUCUUACGGGAGGCAGCAGUAGGGAAUCUUCCGCAAUGGGCGCAAGCCUGACGGAGCAACGCCGCGUGAGUGAUGAAGGUCUUCGGAUCGUAAAACUCUGUUAUUAGGGAAGAACAAAUGUGUAAGUAACCAUGCACGUCUUGACGGUACCUAAUCAGAAAGCCACGGCUAACUACGUG